rnacentral:rRNA from 1 species
GAUGAACGCUAGCGGGAGGCUUAACACAUGCAAGUCGAGGGGCAUCACGAGGUAGCAAUACUUUGGUGGCGACCGGCGCACGGGUGAGUAACGCGUAUGCAACCUACCCUGUACAGGGGGAUAGCCCGGAGAAAUUCGGAUUAAUACCCCAUAAAGAUAGAAUGAGGCAUCUUGUUUUAUUUAAAGUUUCGGCGGUACGGGAUGGGCAUGCGUAACAUUAGCUAGUUGGUAAGGUAACGGCUUACCAAGGCGACGAUGUUUAGGGGUCCUGAGAGGGUGAUCCCCCACACUGGUACUGAGACACGGACCAGACUCCUACGGGAGGCAG